rnacentral:rRNA from 1 species
CCUACGGGAGGCAGCAGUAAGGAAUAUUGGUCAAUGGGCGGAAGCCUGAACCAGCCAUGCCGCGUGCAGGAAGACGGCCCUACGGGUUGUAAACUGCUUUUAUACGGGAAUAAACCUCGAUACGUGUAUCGAGCUGAAUGUACUGUAAGAAUAAGGAUCGGCUAACUCCGUGCCAGCAGCCGCGGUAAUACGGAGGAUCCAAGCGUUAUCCGGAUUUAUUGGGUUUAAAGGGUGCGUAGGUGGCCUGUUAAGUCAGGGGUGAAAGACGGUAGCUUAACUAUCGCAGUGCCCUUGAUACUGAUGGGCUUGAAUAAACUAGAGGUAGGCGGAAUGUGACAAGUAGCGGUGAAAUGCAUAGAUAUGUCACAGAACACCAAUUGCGAAGGCAGCUUACUAUGGUUUAUUGACACUGAGGCACGAAAGCGUGGGGAUCAAACAGGAUUAGAUACCCUGGUAGUCCACGCCCUAAACGAUGAAUACUCGAUGUUGGCGAUAUACGGUCAGCGUCUAAGCGAAAGCGUUAAGUAUUCCACCUGGGAGUACGCCCGCAAGGUGAAACGUCAAAUGAAUUGACGGCGNGAGAGUGACGACGGACGACGACGAGGGAGGAGG